CCCUAGCCCUGAUAGCAGUGAAAAUCCUUUUUAUAAACGCUGUCAGGGUUGAAAACCCUGACAGCGUUGAAAAAGAUUGUAACGGAUAGCAGGAAAUGGC
rfam:Flavobacterium micromati strain DSM 17659 genome assembly, contig: Ga0131131_108